rnacentral:rRNA from 1 species
UUUAAGGUUUGGCCUGCUCCAUGACUAAGUUAAAUAGCCGCAGUAUUUUGACUGUGCAAAGGUAGCAUAAUCAUUAGUUUUUUAAUUGAAAGCUGGAAUGAAGGGUUGGAUGAGAAAGAAUCUGUCUCACUUUAAUUUAUUUGAAUUUUAUUUUUAAGUCAAAAAGCUUAAAUUUUAUAGAAAGACGAGAAGACCCUAUAGAGUUUAAUAAGUUAGGAUUUAAUUAUCUGAGGAUUUUAAUGUAAUUAUUUUUUGGCUUGUUUUGUUGGGGUGACAUUAGAAUUGAAUAAACUUCUAAUUAUUUAUACAUUGAUUUAUGAACUAAUGAUCCUGAUUUUUGGAUUUUAAGAUCAAAUUACCUUAGGGAUAACAGCGUAAUCUUUUUGGAGAGUUCUAAUCGAUAAAAGGGAUUGCGACCUCGAUGUUGGAUUAAAGUUAAGUUUCGGUGUAGGAGCUGAAAUUUUGAGUCUGUUCGACUUUUAAAACUUUACA